ACGACGACCGGCGCACGGGUGCGUAACGCGUAUGCAACCUGCCUUGUACAGAGGGAUAGCCCAUGGAAACGUGGAUUAAUACCUCAUGGUAUCACUGAAUCGCAUGGUUUAGUGAUUAAAACUUCGGUGGUACAAGAUGGGCAUGCGUAUGAUUAGCUAGUUGGUGAGGUAACGGCUCACCAAGGCAACGAUCAUUAGGGGUUCUGAGAGGAUUAUCCCCCACACUGGUACUGAGACACGGACCAGACUCCUACGGGAGGCAGCAGUGAGGAAUAUUGGUCAAUGGACGAAAGUCUGAACCAGCCAUCCCGCGUGCAGGAUGACGGCCCUAUGGGUUGUAAACUGCUUUUCUAUACCAAGAAACACUCUUACGUGUAAGAGCUUGCCGGUAGUAUAGGAAUAAGCAUCGGCUAACUCCGUGCCAGCAGCCGCGGUAAUACGGAGGAUGCAAGCGUUAUCCGGAUUCAUUGGGUUUAAAGGGUGCGCAGGCGGGCUUGUAAGUCAGUGGUGAAAUCUUGCCGCUUAACGGUAAAACUGCCAUUGAUACUGCAGGUCUUGAAUAUGGUUGAGGUAGGCGGAAUGUGUUGUGUAGCGGUGAAAUGCAUAGAUAUGACACAGAACGCCGAUUGCGAAGGCAGCUUACUAAGCCAUUAUUGACGCUGAGGCACGAAAGCGUGGGGAGCGAACAGGAUUAGAUACCCUGGUAGUCCACGCCGUAAACGAUGAUCACUCGCU
rnacentral:rRNA from 1 species